UGAACGCUGGCGGCAUGCCUUACACAUGCAAGUCGAACGGUAACGCGGGGCAACCUGGCGACGAGUGGCGAACGGGUGAGUAAUGCAUCGGAACGUGCCCAGUAGUGGGGGAUAGCCCGGCGAAAGCCGGAUUAAUACCGCAUACGACCUAAGGGUGAAAGGGGGGGAUCGCAAGACCUCUCGCUAUUGGAGCGGCCGAUGUCAGAUUAGGUAGUUGGUGAGGUAAAGGCUCACCAAGCCGACGAUCUGUAGCUGGUCUGAGAGGACGACCAGCCACACUGGAACUGAGACACGGUCCAGACUCCUACGGGAGGCAGCAGUGGGGAAUUUUGGACAAUGGGCGCAAGCCUGAUCCAGCAAUGCCGCGUGCAGGAUGAAGGCCUUCGGUUGUAACUGCUUUGUACGGUAGCGAACGGUCGUACUCUAAUACAGUGGCGUAAUGACGGUACGUAACGAUAAGCACCGGCUAACUACGUGCCAGCAG
rnacentral:rRNA from 1 species